rnacentral:rRNA from 1 species
UACGUAGGCAGCGAGCGUUGUUCGGAUUUACUGGGCGUAAAGCGUGCGUAGGCGGUUUUGUAAGUUUGGUGUGAAAUCUCCCGGCUCAACUGGGAGGGUGCGCCGAAAACUGCAAGGCUGGAGUAUGGGAGAGGUAGGCGGAAUUCCUGGUGUAGCGGUGAAAUGCGUAGAUAUCAGGAGGAACACCGGUGGCGAAGGCGGCUACCUGGACAGAGUCUGACGCUGAGGCACGAAAGCUAGGGGAGCAAACAGG